UACGUAGGGUGCGAGCGUUAAUCGGAAUUACUGGGCGUAAAGCGUGCGCAGGCGGUUUGUUAAGACAGGUGUGAAAUCCCCGAGCUCAACUUGGGAAUUGCGCUUGUUACUGGCAAGCUAGAGUGUGUCAGAGGGAGGUAGAAUUCCACGUGUAGCAGUGAAAUGCGUAGAGAUGUGGAGGAAUACCGAUGGCGAAGGCAGCCUCCUGGGAUAACACUGACGCUCAUGCACGAAAGCGUGGGGAGCAAACAGG
rnacentral:rRNA from 1 species